UGAGUAACGCGUAAGCAAUCUGCCUAUUAGAGGGGAAUAACAGUGAGAAAUCACUGCUAAUACCGCAUAUGCCAUGAACAUCGCAUGAUGAAAAUGGGAAAGGAGUAAUCCGCUAAUAGAUGAGCUUGCGUCUGAUUAACUAGUUGGUGUGGUAAUGGCAUACCAAGGUAACGAUCAGUAGCCGGACUGAGAGGUUGAACGGCCACAUUGGGACUGAGAUACGGCCCAGACUCCUACGGGAGGCAGCAGUCGGGAAUAUUGCGCAAUGGAGGAAACUCUGACGCAGUGACGCCGCGUAUAGGAUGAAGGUUUUCGGAUUGUAAACUAUUGUCAUUAGGGAAGAUAAAAGACAGUACCUAAGGAGGAAGCUCCGGCUAACUACGUGCCAGCAGCCGCGGUAAUACGUAGGGAGCAAGCGUUAUCCGGAUUUAUUGGGUGUAAAGGGUGCGUAGACGGGAGAUUAAGUUAGUUGUGAAAGCCCUU
rnacentral:rRNA from 1 species